UUCCUCCUAACCCUGGCUUUUAUCCUGAGUAUGUGCCUCAAAACCCUGUCUAUCCUGCUGACUUUGGACCUGGACAUCCCCCUGCUCAGCCGCCCCCGUGGAACGCUCCUCCGCCCCAGUAUAACCCUUCUGCACCUAUGAACUAUACACCAGCAAUGAACAGUGCUCCUCCUGGACCCGAACCCACAGGGAUGAAUAUGAAUUUAUUGCCACCAACUGCACCUCUGCUCACACCUCAGCCUGAGUUGCAGCCGUCUGUCAUGAGCAGCAUUCCCACGGAUAUCCUUAACUCCAGUGACUCUGGUGUCCAGUUUGACAUUAACAAAG